GCGGUGACGGUGGAGGAGGUGAGGAGGGCGCAGAGGGCGGAGGGGCCGGCGACGGUGCUGGCGAUCGGGACGGCGACGCCGGCGAACUGCGUGUACCAGGCCGACUACCCGGACUACUACUUCAGGAUCACCAAGAGCGAGCACAUGGUCGAGCUCAAGGAGAAGUUCAAGAGGAUGUGUGACAAGUCGCAGAUCAGGAAGAGGUACAUGCACCUGACGGAGGAGAUCCUGCAGGAGAACCCCAACAUGUGCGCGUACAUGGCGCCGUCGCUGGACGCGCGGCAGGACAUCG
rnacentral:misc_RNA from 1 species